rnacentral:rRNA from 1 species
AUUGAACGCUGGCGGCAUGCUUUACACAUGCCAGUCGAACGGCAGCGCGGGCUUCGGCCUGGCGGCGAGUGGCGAACGGGUGAGUAAUGCAUCGGAACGUGCCCAGUAGUGGGGGAUAGUCCGGCGAAAGCCGGAUUAAUACCGCAUACGACCUGAGGGUGAAAGCGGGGGACCGCAAGGCCUCGCGCUAUUGGAGCGGCCGAUGUCGGAUUAGCUAGCUGGUGGGGUAAAGGCUUACCAAGGCGACGAUCCGUAGCUGGUCUGAGAGGACGACCAGCCACACUGUGACUGAGACACGGCCCAGACUCCUACGGGGAGCAGCGGUGGGGAAUUUUGGACGAUGGAGGCAACCCUGAUCCAGCCAUGCCGCGUACGGGAAGAAGGCCUUCGGGUUGUAAACCGCUUUUGUUCGGGAAGAAAUCCUCUUGGCUAAUACCCCGGGGGGAUGACGGUACCGGAAGAAGAAGCACCGGCUAACUACGUG